AACGAACGCUGGCGGCAUGCCUAACACAUGCAAGUCGAACGAGACCUUCGGGUCUAGUGGCGCACGGGUGCGUAACGCGUGGGAAUCUGCCCUUAGGUUCGGAAUAACUUCGGGAAACUGAAGCUAAUACCGGAUGAUGACGUAAGUCCAAAGAUUUAUCGCCUAAGGAUGAGCCCGCGUUGGAUUAGCUAGUUGGUGGGGUAAAGGCUCACCAAGGCGACGAUCCUUAGCUGGUCUGAGAGGAUGAUCAGCCACACUGGGACUGAGACACGGCCCAGACUCCUACGGGAGGCAGCAGUGGGGAAUAUUGGACAAAUGGGCGAAAGCCUGAUCCAGCAAUGCCGCGUGAGUGAUGAAGGCCUCGGUGUUAAAGGACGUACUUUUACCCGUACG
rnacentral:rRNA from 1 species